UCCUCAGUACUUGGACAGUCCUCCAUAUUGUAGCAGUGAAGACUGUAUCCAUCGUUGCUGUUAACGCUGCCCGUGCGGAGAAGAGACGAGAAGCCACUAACAGAGGAUGCCCGUGCAUGGACAUGUUUUCUACCCUGUCAUGAAAUCAAGUUAUUUAAAAAGUACAUUUCAGUGACAGGUCUCUUGUUAUAUCCGAAAAAGGCCCUCAAAUGAUGUCACCCUUAUCCUUUCAUCAUUUGAAGACUGCUGCUCAUCUUCUUUCUCUCUGAAGUAUUCUUCCACACACUCUUCCUCAAAAUCAUACAGGCAUCUCAGCUCCUCAGUAUUCAGUAUAAGCUCUUACAGGAAAAGAGAGAUGCUGUGAUUAGUCAAUAAGACAGUUACCUGAAAACCUAAUUCUGUGUUAUAUAGUUUAUCCUUAAACAACAAAAAGUUUAAACAACUGUCUUUUAUAAUUGUAUAACAAGUUCACUGAAGUAUUAUUCUUCAGCAGUUCUAUAAGCCUUUUAAUUUAGCAACUGAAUAUAAUAGUGCAACAGUCUUAUUAAGCGAGAAAGGCUGAUCAUUGCCUUUAUUGCAUCCCAACUGAUUGACUCUGAAAGCAGAAAAGUCUUAGAAAUAAUAGAUAUGAUUCAUUUAUAAGAACUCACUCAAUCCUUUGUCCUUUUCAUCCAGCUCCCCCUCUUUUUUCUUGCCACAGCGGCAGCAAAUUAGUCUGAUGAGGAUGUAAAUGUGACUGAAGAUGAUAAGAGGAGGUGGAAGCACUGGCCGGUCAUGGAAAGUCAUAAUCAGCUGAUACCGCUGGAACUUCCAAACCUGGUUUGAAAUGGACUUCACCUCAAAGAAAGUGUUACUGUUAGGGAGAAAUUAAGGUGGAUCGUUUAGAAUUCUGUUCAUUUUGGACAAGCAGAGUAGUUCAAAUUUGCUUUAGUCAUAUUAAUUCAUAUUAAGAAAUAUAGGUAUUUUUUCUAUUGAUUUCUACACUUACUUAAAAACAGCAAUAAGCAAGUUGACCAGAAGGAUGUUAGCUACUAGCAGAUAGCAGGCCAUGAUGGCUGGAGUGAGCCAGGCACCAGGAAUGCAGGGGGGGAGUUUCUUUCCAUCCUCAUCAUACUUAUUAUCUCCACAGGGGGCUGAGGAGAGACCUCAAAUCUCAGUCCAGAAUAGAUGUGCUAACAUGAUUUCCAUUUUGAAACAAUAUUAAAAAUGGAGUGUAAUAUAUACAUACGGUUUAUUUCCAUGGCAUAAACUGCAGUCCAUUCCAGAGUAGAAAAUUCGUAGAGGUGAUGGGGGCAGGGGGAAAGCAAGCAAAUAUUUACAUCAAAAUCAAGGAAAAAACCUCACGAUAGAAACAUGGGAUAUAUAGUGCUUCUGAAUCUUCAUUGUUGCAUGUGGGGUUCUCACACCUGCAGCUUAGUCUGAAACAAAGCACGGUUCACAUUAAAAAUUGAUGUAGUAAAAGCAGUCAUGCGGACAGAAGGCGAAUCAUUUUACUGAACCAGAGACUGCCUUCAGCUCACAAUUGGGUCCACACUUAUUUAGGAAGUAAAGUAACUUGUGCGUGUGUUUUAGGCGAUGACGACAUCAUUAGGUGUCACAACACAUGUAUACUGAGUGGUAGGGGAAAACUGUAUGACACAACAGUAUAGGAUACCUCUACUGUACUCUCUCUCUCUCUCUCUCUCUCUCUCUCUCUCUCUCUCUCUCUCAGUCUGGUACUGUUCUUUCUGAUCUAUCUAUCUAUCUAUCUAUCUAUCUAUCUAUCUAUCUAUCUAUCUAUCUAUCUAUCUAUCUAUCUAUCUAUCUAUCUAUCUAUCUGCAGUACAUGUGUAAGAUGCUAGAAAUCUUUCCUUAUUCUCAACAGAAUUAAAUAAACCGAAGAAAAUCCUACAUGAGAGUAAGAAAUGAUGUAUGAGAAGAGAUAGAUGGUGUAAACUUUAGUAAUAGGUGCCUGAUAUAAAGGUGUUUGGUAAAAGAUAUAUAGUUUGGAUCCAUAUUUCAUCUAAAAUUUAAAGAGGACAAAAUGAUAUAAAUUUAAAAGGACUAUUCAAUGUGCAAAUGCGACUCUAUGAAACCUUGGAACCUUGGAAAGCACUGAAUCUUACUAUCAAUUCUGGUCUUACGGUCUAUUGAGUCCGCAAACACCUCUCCAUAGAUCAUCCAGUAGGGCAUGUAGAAAAUGUUUCGGGCUAGUCGCCAGGUUGGUUCUUCAUCUGGGUGGAGGAUGGCCUGCCGUGCUACCCCAAAGCUCAUAAGGACCACCAACAUGAUCACCACAAAGUACAACAUGUCUAUCAUCUGAAAAAAAUCAACAACAAUAAUGUUACAUUAGAGUUUUAUUAUUAUUAUUAUUAUUAUUAUUAUUAUUAUUAUUAUUAUUAUUAUUAUUAUUAUUAUUAUUAUUAUGUUGUAGUUGUUGUUGUUGUUGUUAGUGUCUUAAAUGGUGUAAAGAAUUGAACAUUGAUGAUGAUAAAUCUAAAAAACUAUCUACAAGUCUAUAAAGUCAGAAAUACAUGAAAGUUUGCUUUCUUUAUUUGUGUGAUUUACUGUUACUUACCAUCUUGCCGAUCAUCAUGACAUAGGGUCCGAGGUAUUUGUUUACCCCAAAAAUAUCCAACACACGGAUGUACCAGAAGAUGAUAUCAACACAGUAUAUAACCCUUCCAUAGCCCAUGUAAGGUUCAGGUUGUAGUCGGAGGAGGAGACCCAGCAGGAAGGUAGAGAUGGCCACCAGAUCUGUGAUGUUCCAGUACUCUUCCAACCACACGUUAAUCUUCUGCUUGAGCUUACCAGGCUCUGACAUAAGAAUCUACCAUAAACAAGAGCAUUGAUGUUGUAUAUUCCCUCAAUUUACAUUCUUUUUAAAUUGUCUUUCAGAACAUUUUAACAGGAGACAAAAUUAUCUCCAGUUAUUUAAGUGCUUAAUAACAUUAGCGCAUGUGCUGAAAUUCAGCUCUAAUCUGAAUCUGAUACACAUAAUACUCUGUUGUUGUCCAUGUCACCUACAGUAAAUACAUAAGGAAAGUGCAUGAUCAAUAAGACACCCUAUUAGUAGCAGCACAUUCCUUCUUGUUCUUUCCUCCUUAAUAAAAAGUAUCUACAUGAUUUUAUGUGUUUUUUGUCAUGUUAUAUUUAGCGAUUUACAGUACACCUUUAAAAAAGAACUCCUCUAGGACUCUUAUAGUAAAGGAUUCUCAAGCUGAUAAAUGUCAAAGGCCGAGUGUCAGUAUGUAGGAAAUGACCAACCACUCUUGGAUUGAUGGCCAGCGUUCCAUUUUCACCAGGACAAUAUAAUUGUACAGCAUAAGAUACACAAGCUUUUUACUGCCACCUUCUUCGUCACCCUUCUUUGAAUGUGAAUCUGUGGUGGCAUCCUGGAAGAACAUGGUCAUGUUAUUGGGGAGAUGAGAAAUGCAGAUAAUGCAGAAAUAUCAUGAUGUGUGUUAACAUUUUUCACUAAGUAUUUGGUAAUUCCCUGUUUCAAAGUAAACAAUAAAAUAGUAUUCAUUGUUCAAUAGUAAAAAGCAUGCUCAUAUGAUGCAUUUACAGCAGUCAUUCAUUGUAUAUCAUUCAUUAUGUAUUGUUCAUCCUUUGUAUAUUCCAGGUCCGGCUUACUUUAAAUCAAAUUAGGCUACUAGGUUGUUAUAUUUUAGAAAACAGAAAUAAAUUCAGUACACAAUAUGAUAGCCUUGUACAAACAGAAAUAAAAACUGUCCAAGCUGGUCAAAAAAAAAAACAGUCUUUUGCCAUCUUAAUAAUGAACUCAGGUACUGAUAGCUGAGAUUGAGGAACUGUCGGAGCCAGAAAUCACAGAUCAUGCUGACAGUACUGGCAUGUUUUUUAGUUUUCCAGUGUUUCUUGGAACCUAGUGUAAUGUCUUAAAAAAUUGUAAUAAAAAAAACUUUUUUUAGUCACAUCCACAUCAAGUAUGAAUACAGAUUUGAAUAUAUGGAGCACUAAACAGAUAUAAAUCAUGCCAUUGAGUUCCACCCCUACCACACACAUA